AAAUAAGUAAGCUAAAAUAAGCUUUUAGGUUCAUACCCUAAAUAUAGGUUUUAAAAACCUCUUAUUUA
rnacentral:tRNA from 1 species